UACGAAGGGGGCUAGCGUUGUUCGGAUUUACUGGCGUAAAGCGCACGUAGGCGGAUUGUUAAGUCGGGGGUGAAAUCCUGGAGCUCAACUUCAGAAUUGCCUUCGAUACUGGCUUUCUAGAGGCUGGAAGAGGUUAGUGGAAUUCCCAGUGUAGAGGUGAAAUUCGUAGAUAUUGGGAAGAACACCAGUGGCGAAGGCGGCUCACUGGUCCGGUACUGACGCUGAGGUGCGAAAGCGUGGGAGCAACAGG
rnacentral:rRNA from 1 species